ACAGCGGGACGCUAUGGCCGACACGGCUCGGGGACCGGAGUCCGAUUCCUUGGCUUGAGGAAUUGUAUAUGUGUGGCCUGUAUCAUUUCCAGUUAAAAGACAGACAGUCUGUCUGUCCAAUCAGAAGGGUCCUUCCUCUGCUUCCUGCUAUAAGGCCCUACCCUUUCCGGAAGAAGUUAAUGUCGUUGUGUUUUCCUAUUUGUCGUUGUGUUUUGCACUUCAGGGCCACCGUAGUUCUGUGAGAGAAGUUGUAAGGUCAAGAACUGACAAACAAUUUGUUUUUGUGCCGGAUGGAGCGAGAUCACCCCACAACUAUCUGAUAAAGCCAAAGCCUGGCCAGUUUAUUUUCUGAGAACGUUGAGUCAAUUUUGUCUAUAGUCGAAUACCAUAAAUUUAGCCUGAAAAGGAUUUGUGAUCAGUUCCAAGGCCCUCCGUUUGGAUAAAGAAACUCUCUUAAAAGGUCUUUAUGAUUUGAGUCUUUAUUAAGGAUUCAACAAUUGUUCAUCUUCCCACUUGAUUUUGAACUCUGUUUAAUGUGAAACUGCAAAAACAAUAUUUUUUACUGAAAUCAGUCAAUAAUUGUUAUAAAUGAUCACGGUCUGAAUCCUGUUCAGUUUUGACCAAAACCAGUCAGCUCUAAAUCAAACAGAGAAAUAUUAACGACAAAACUCAAACAAUAGGCUAAAUGAAGCUAAGGAGCAAAGCAAAAAGUGGAGUUGAAUAACAAACGUCUCUUUUGCAAUCGUUAAACUGACUGCUUCUAAAUAUGUUGUAACAUUUAGCUAGAGGAUGUGAUGCCAGACACAGCUUAUUCCAAAGUAUUAUGUAUGGAGAAUCCUUACUCAUCCUCUCAUAACUCGGAUAAAACCACCCGAGCUGCCACGUCCAACCUGAAAAGCUCUUUGAUUAAUCAGCGCCUUUAGCCCCUCUCUGAACCGAGCGCUUACGGGCUCUACGCGGCUAUAACCGUUGAUUGAAUUUUAAAAAUAAAAACGUGCCUCAUUUCAGAAUGUUCCUCUUUGUAUGGUUCACUCUCGCUUUUUAGGAUAUGGCCGAUUCCAAUGAUGCAGUCCCACUAGGUUUUAAAUGGCAAUGUAUUCAGGAGACAUAACCAGGGGAUUAUGAUGAUGAAUAAAGAUGGCUGCGCCUGUCUUAGGGUAUUUGUGAGGAGUGGAGGGAGAGGAGGCCUGUUCAGGAGAGACCGGGGGGAGGGAGAAGGAGGAGGAGGAGGAGGAGGAGGAGGAAGGAGGAGGAGGAGGAGGAUGAUCUGGGGUAAUAUUACAGACAAUACAGGCAAAGCAAAGGCGCUGCGACAAUGAAUAGUGGUUGGAUCGGCUCAAUACUUGAUCAAAUUUCGCCCUUAAUGAAAAGGGGAGUCUAGUCAUGAUUGUCUCUAAGAAGAUGGAUAUGAUGCAAUUAGUUUAAUUGUACGUCAAUAGUGAUUAAUACGUGGUGGCAAGCUGCUUGUCGUAAGGUAAGAAUUUAUUCUUAAUUGAGCUUGCGUCUCCGUCGGUGAUGUUUGCGCAUGCUUUGACUUUUACAUUCAAUUUGAAAUAAUCCCUUUUUUGAAUGGUCUUGUACUUGUACAGGGCGCAGUGGACUGCGCUCAUUUGGUCAUUCUCAUUGACCUAAAAGUAUCAACAUAUUACAGUGACAAAGCAGACAUGUUGAGUUAUGGUUCAGCCUCCCUGGAGGUUUUGUAGCGCAGUAUAACAGGCCCGUCUGCCCAAAAGCAGUUUGUUUUAAUACUUCAAUGUGAGUGUAUUCAUAACAGACUGGUGACAGUCAGCUGGUGUUGUACCCUGCAUUAUUGGAUGGAGAUGUAUACCAUAGGGAAUUCAUCGCUGGUCACAAGAAACCCACAAUGCAGUCAUGGAAGCGUAACGCUCGCCCUCCUGUUCCUCAGCAGGUAAACAAAAUUUGCUCCGUCAGCACUGAUGCUUUUGUUUGCUUGGUGCUUGCUGUUGGCAUCAUCAGCUGUCAGCCGUCACCAUGUGGAACUAAGCCCCUUUUUUGUAAUCAGAAACGGCAUGCGACGUUUGUGCUGAUAUCAGAGAUAAUUACCAAAACGUCAUCAAUCCGUCACCCAUUUUUUCGGCAAACCAGUCUUUACCUUUCUGAGAUGAGUUUUAGUAAAUACCACCACAAUUAUGUUUUCAAAGGAGCCAUUGCAGGGACUAUUAAACUCCACGCACGUCUGGAACUGAAUAGCUCCAGCUGCACUUGAGUUCAGAAGUGCACAUACGUGUCUUUUGCUACACAAAUUAGAUUUGCAUAGGUGUGUUAUACAUCUGCUCAUUUUGUAAUGUUUGCACUCACUCCGACAUUCCCCUUGAUGGAGUGUACGCGCACUCUCUUUACCUAUAUUUGUUCGCCUCGUCGCUUUCAAUAAUUCAUUAGGUGUAGGCAUCGCUUCCCGCUUUGAAGAAACCUCGUCUCUACUUCUGCAAUGUGACAGUAUUUACAUUUACAACACAUCAGCAGCAAUCACCUCGCUUUGGUUUGCAUAACAGCAUGCCACACCAGAAGUAGACAAAAUCUGUGCGUCUUAAUGGCAAAUAACCACCUUAUUUAUUUUUCAUAGGAAAGCUCAAGUAAAAAUCUAAUUUCUGCAGUAUCCCAUCUGGGAGGAUGCAAGCUCAGGAAGCCCCUUCACUGGUUUACUUUGAAGCCGGCAUGAUGAAGAAGGCGUUUGAGACUUUUUAGAUGGCGGGUGGAAGAGCAAACUGUCUGUCAGACUUUAGUGUUUUUAUUUAUUUAUCAAAAACCAGGCACUGAGAGAAACACAGGCUGAGGUCACGAUAAUUUAAAGGGGAUAAUAUGCUCUCUAACCACAAGUUGAUGUGGUUCUUUCUGAUCUGAAUGAAAUGUCAUCAUGAAAACAUCAUUUGGUUAAAAUACCACAAGGAUCAUUAUAAACGGCAACCUUUUCAGCCUGCCUAAAACAGCUGUGCUGACCCCUUUGAGGUAUUUAUGCUAAUGAGCAGGCUAACCACCUCCACCCACCUGUCCAUCCACCAUCCCCACUCCUCUGUGGUUUGAGCCUUGCAUGGCAUGCCUCCCCUGAGGCAUCAUGAAAUGUAAAAGAUAAAUGAUUAAAAAUAAAUAUUUGUCCAAUCUGUGAGAGAAAUUGUAUUUUCCUGUUCAGACAAAGAUCUGAACUAAAGCUGUAAAACUACGGGAAAACACUGUAAUCCAUUUUUUGUUUGUUUUUAGGGUGCCUUCUAAGUCUGGGAUGUGAUGUAGAGAAUUGUGCGGAACUGCAGGUCGAUGACGUCGAUGACUUCCACUUGGUCUGAUGACGUCGGCAAGCCCCGGUACUGCCAAAAGAGUUGUUUUAUUUAACACUAAUUCACUACAGUGAUUAAAAACAAAAAAUUAUUAAAAGUGUUUGUUUUUUUCCAGCGACUAUUGAUGUCCCCCAAUCUCAUUAUCGAAACAGCGGCCUGUGUCAUUUUUCACAUGCUUAUAGGCAUUAGCCGCCUGAAUUAGAAACAUCUGGCGCUGUGCUGUUGUGAAUGGAAGUUUAAGGUGAUGCAACCAAACCCAAACAGAAGUGUCUUAUGUAGAGUGAUGGCUUCUUCUAUCAUGGAUGGAGGAGAAUGGGAUGCUGGACAAGAACCACAAGGGGCAGACAUGUGAGCUCUCGGUGAAGAUUUUUGUAUUAAUACAAUUUACUGCCGAAUUUCAUAAAAAAAUGUUGAAUUACCGAAAAUAGUUCAUCAACAGGAACACUUGAAGACGAACCAGAAUGUAGUAUUAGUAAUUUAUCCAUCUCUUUAACUUUAUCUGUCAUCAAAUAAUUGUUUGAGCCAAUAAUCUUUCAUAUUUUCCACAUCAUUGUAAGAAUGCUAAACGACUUUCUUGAAGUGUGGGAAAUAAUGAAUAGUGUGAUGAAUGGAAAAGAAAAGUGUUGGCUUGAGGAAGUGUAAUUUCGCUUUCGUUGCACAUUCUCUGAAUAGCAUCACUAUUUUUAAUUUUCGUCUUUACUGGAGAUGUUGACAAUACGUACACUUCAGCACUAUUCCCCCUCACCCUCCCUCCACCCUCUUUCUUAUUCGAGAUCCAGCCUGGGCACUCAGACAGCUUCUUAUUUUGGCUCGUGUGACCACUGGGAGCUUGAGAGCGAGGGAGAAUCACCUUUUUAUCAACUGUCCCUCUCCAACACCUUUUCACGUUCUAUUCACUUUCUAUUUUCUGGAUGACCAGCCUGCACUGUUUUCCCUCCCAGGACGUUCCUGCUCCUACACGCUCCUCUCUCUACCUCCUAUAUUUUUGUACAUACAAGUAAAUCAUACAUUUAGCAUUUUCUGUUGAAAUGUUGGAUGCAUGCUCUGUAUAAAAAUAGAGGGCAUAUCCGUGUCAGCGUGUCAGUCUCUCACCCGCUCUUCUGGUUCAGUUUGUUUUGUUACGGCACACAAAUCUCAGCUUUUUAUGACCGAGCACAAAUCUACUCCUGCUAAUAAACUUUUACACAGUGGGUAAACACACAAUUUCCAAUGCUCUUUGGGUGUCCUAACAAGUCAGAUUUUCCUAAUUAAAUUUCCAUUCCAGGAUUUCACACUUUUCUGCGUUUGGCUUUCCCUGCUGAAAAGAAAAGCAUUUUAUCCAGAUAUUCAUUUUUCAGUUGAAUAACAAUGUCAGUUUGCGUGUCUGGACUGCGCUAACGAAAUAGCAGUUGCAAUAAUACACACAAUAUCUCCUGCUAACACACAUGGGGCAUAAAUACACAGAUGUUUGCUUGCAAUCAUUCACACAGGGGAAAACUAAUUCUACUCCGAGGCCUGUCUCUAAAAUGCGUUACCAUCUGCACAGCUGCUGGUCUCACAUUAUACAGCGUGUUUCCUGUAAAGUAAAAGCUUUCAAUGUUGAAGAAUAGCUGGAUGACACUGCGAGCAGUACAAACAAUCAGCUUGUGUCACUGUCUGGGAAUGUAACCUGCCUUCUGUUGUCUGGAUACAGUGCUGGUGCAUUCUCACAAACAUGGGUGCUAUGAUUGGAAAGUCAUGUGACACAUUCUGAAUUAAAUAAGCAAGGCUACAACGGGCAGUUUCACACACUGAAGAUCAUUAGGAAGGGCUGUCCUGCUUCCUGAUGAGGGAUUCAGUGUUUUGUGUAACCAUCCGUUCCCAGGGACAGACUGUGCCCCCUGUGGCGACACUCUCCAUCAGUCCAAUGUUUCUAUGACUCAAAGUAAAGAUGGCGUGUUUGUCACUGGAAACGUGCACGUCAAUUUGGUGCAAACUUCCAUUUUUGUCCAAGAAAUACUGUUAAUAGUUAAUUUGGUUCUGUGGUAGUCGUUGCUACUUAUAUUAUGGGCCUAGACAGAAAUGGAAGUAAACUGCGACUUGAAAGGUUGGUGGAAGAAUAUAACCAGGAGGUGAUAUUUGUAGAGGUUUAAAAAUGACCUGAUCGGUCAAAAAUAGCUAUUGUAUAAUAUUAACCAACUGAAGCGUACUUUCUGCAUUAUUUUUCAUUUAUCAUUAAAUAUGAAGCGGCUGUUGAUGAGACUGCUUCAUACUGUACGUGAGACUGAAUUUUUUUAAUCACCCCUUCAGGGUCUGAAUUUUUUGCGGGAUGCGGUUCUCCGUUGCCAUGGAAUUUGACAUAAUAAUUUAAUAAAUAAUAUGAAAUACUCCCAGCACAACAGUUGUCUCUCUCCUCCCCCCAGCCUGUCCCUUUUCUCUUCCUUCGGUUACACCACCUGUUUCCCAUCAUCCUGCCCCAUUUUUUCCAUCCAGCUGCACACCUGGGACCCACGCUGGCACCCGCCAUUCAUCAUCCUCUCACCUUACUUCCUCGCUGUCGCACAUUGGUCUGAUUCAGUAUGUUUGCGCUAUAGAAAGGUCUUCUCCAGUUCUCAACUGGAUUUUAAUAUUUCUCCAAAAACUACACUGGUUGUCUGAAGCCUGCUAAUGCAUUCGUUUGGAUUGUUUCACAUCGGUUGUUAAGUUUUGAAAUUCAAUAUCCACGAGUCAUACAUCCAAACAGAAAGUUGUGUCAGAGUCUAUUGGCUUAACAGCCCAAAGUUUGUAGGUUUGAUAGUUUGUGAGAGUUGACAUUCCCCUCUGUGCUCUCCUGGUUUCCACUUGCUGUCAGAUCGGAUCGGACUUAUCAGAGAGAGAGCGAGGGAUUCAUGGCGUUCGGCAUUCGUAAGCUGUUGCUACUGGGCUCUAGGGAAGAAGACGCAGUCUUUAAACCGAAGACAGAAAAUAUACCUGCAGUACCUGACAUCAUUCAGACAUAUUGGCUCCUGUAGAUGAAUUGUUAGAUGUGAGCUUAUGCAAAUUUUCAUUUGGUGAUUGUGAAAGUUCAAGAUUUAUAAAUUGUAGUAUUCUGCCAAUCAUACUCGUACAAAAGAUUAAAUGUUUCAUCUACACAUUUUCAGAAUAAUCGUUUUGUCUGACCAAUUCUAACAUAUUAAUUAAGAGAAAUGGAAAAUAAUGUGACUGAACUAACGAUUUCAUUCAACGAUUCUUAUCAACGGUCUACCAAAAUGUAAAGCAAUGAACUUGAUUCAUUGAUCAUUUACCAUUUUGCGUGUGCACAUACUCACACUAAAUUGUGACCCGCUGUGCCGGCUGAAGAAACCCAGCAAACUGAUGACAUUGUGGAGUGCGGCAAAGACAGGAGGGACCGACUGCACGCUGGAAGGAGCAGGUGUGACUGAAAGCUUGAACCAAAAUUUGCAUGCACCAACACAACUUGGUGGUGUGGCGUGUAUUUGCAUUUCGUAUUCAAAUAUGUACACACUGUUGUGCAUGUGAUCUCCUUAAUGAGUGCAGACGGAGUGUUAUCCAUGGCCUGACGGCGUCUUAUAGGACCUCAAUGUGGUCUCUGUCUCAAACACAUUGUGCAUUAUGUGCAUAAAUUAUUUUAUAACACUUCUCAUUGUAUUGAUGGGGUGUUUUUGAGUUAGACAUCCUAGAUUAAUUUUAGUUAAAUUAAAACAGUUGAAUCCUGAGAGAAUAUUUUUUAAAUUUUCUGUCAGGGUUGGAAGGCAGGACUCAAAUGCAGACUUCUCCAAACAAAACACUUUAAUAGUCAAAAGGUCAAAAACACAGGAACCGGGGGCAAAAGCACACAGGCAAGAAACUACGGAGAUCCAAGACGAAAAAAGACAAGAACAAGCGUGGCAAAAGACAAUGACGCGACAACAGACACACAUGGUUUAAAUACACUAGGGAGGUGCAGGUGAUUGGACACAGGUGGAAACUAUUAGACGAUCACAGGGGAUGACAUGACAAGGCAGGAAGUGAAGUUACCCGGGGACACAAGUGGCAGAAUAUUACAAAAUAUAACAGGAAGUGAACCACAUCGUGACAAUUUUCAUUCUCAACUCAAUGGAAAUGCUUCACUUGAAUUUUGUUGGGCAUCAUCAGAAUAUAUAUUUUUUUCUUACACACAUCUGCAUAGAUUUACAUACACAAAAUAAAUGUUGUCUUCUGAUACAAUUUGAUGUUUUGUUCUGAUUAGCUUUGCAUAAUUUAAUAAACUUUUCAGCUAUGAAAUAGUACUCUAUAGCUACUCUAGUUUAGAAAGCUUUGUUUUGUAUGCCCAUAGCGUUUAUUAAAGGUUAUGCAACAACAAUCACAACAGCAAUAACAAUAUUCAUGAUUUCAGCCAUUAAGCAGCUAAAAUAAAUGGAAAUGGUUGGUUAUUUUUUUAACUUAGAGUGCAGAACUUUUUCCUCUGCUGGCAGUGAGGGCAAUUUAAAAUGUCAAUAUCUGUAUUUACACUGGCCGUAUGCCAGCAGGUAAGGUGCCACAUUUCCCACCUGUCCUCUUUUACCGUUGACCGCUUUCUUUUUUGGACUUUAAUCUUGAUUGAAUGCUGAGUUAAAAACAUUUAAAUCAAGAAGAAUUCACUCAUGGCAAUUUACUUGGACGAUGCAGCUUCUGGUAAAGUCCUAGCUUGUUUCCUUGCCUGCUGAGAGAUUUAAACUAUGCACUCGGCAAACAAUCAGCAUUUUUGUUGUGUUCAUUUCAACUCCAAUGUACAUACAGAGCUUCCGCUGGCGCCGGUUGGCUUAAUCAGCGCUGUGUUAUAUGUAAAAGUCCAAGACUCACUGAAGGGGUCUAAGAAGUCCCCGAGGGAAACUGCUUCCACAGCAAGGAACAGGAAACACCACACAUCUGGGCCCUUACUGUUGGUUUUAAAAAAGUUAGUUAUUUUCCAUUUUGGGUUCAUUUUCUUCUGGUUGUUGUAAACUGUCCGCUGUAACUAACUUCCCUCUCUCUGCUUUGCCUAAAUGGAAAGCUAGCGCGGCGCUCUCUGGGCCGCACUCCAUCUGUCGGCCUUCAGAUUAAAGAAAAGAGUCUGGUUAUCCAUAUGUGAUGAAGCCAGGAGGGCUGACGAUGAGUCAGGAGAGGGGUGGGGGGGUCCUGGCAUUCAUCCUGCUGACAUGAACCGUGGUGGGCUGUGACGGGCCUCGGUCUGGUUAUCUGGUCUAGCUGCAUCUGGCGGAUUGCCAUUUGAACAGCGGGGGCGGGGGGUGGAGAAGAGAUUUAAUUUAAUUUAAAACUCCCAUAACAAACCUGAAUGAAAAAAAGCCUCAAAUGAUCAGGUUGAAACUAAUGUAUUUGAUCUAACAUAGGUACAAUCUGUGUAGCUUAAUGCCUGAUUGUAUAUUUCUCUUCACUGUUGUGAAGAAACCUUUUUAAACACAUCAACCUGUCACACUGCCCGGGUACUGCCGUUUGUUUCUGACUCGAUCUCACAUGCUUCGCCCUGCUGCUGGAAAUACUCACCAGAGCACCAAAUAUGUAUUUAUCCACAGUGGAAAAUACCCCCCCAAAAAUGAACCACUUACUCCUGUUUGAGUUGGGAUUGCUAGAAAUGACUCAGUGCUCUGCACGCUGAAACUAAUGCUGGUCAAACGGCUAAACUCAUAUCGUUUAUCUUUUGGUAACACUCUACUCGGGUGAUGUCGAUGGAGUGUCUCCAACAGCAACUAAACUCCAUAAAAACAAUAAAGAUGUGCACUAUGCAUCGGUUGUUGCAAUACGACUGUAUGCACGCCAUCGUCAUCAGUUUAUAGCUUUAUGUUCCUAAAGCUGCUGCAGCCUUCACUAGUAUAGAAGAACAGUCUGCUAAUAAUUGUAUUAAUUGUGCAUGAUUCUUCUUUUCAUCUUUUGCUUUGAUUAUUUUUUAGCUUCUUUCAUGUUAUGUACUUGCGCAUUGCUCUCACUGUUGAUUUUAUCCUUUUUAUAGCAAUAAGAAAGUGGGGACCAUGCAGCUUCACUGAGCCUUUGAGAAGAGUUCUUUUCACCCUCUUUAUUUAUUUACAUUUUGUUGUUUGUGUCUAUUCUAAAGUAUAUGCUGUGAAUUUAAGUGGUUUUCAAGGGGCCGUGUACACCGGAAGGCCACAUUCAAGCCCAUAGGAGAUGCACAAACUCAAACAUGAUUAUAUGGUCAUCAAACCCAUUCACCCUUCAACGCUGUUUCCCGGUAGACACACAGGUCAUCAAUGCAGGAGAGUGUGGGGAAAAAGACCAUGCUUUCCUCAUUGCGACAGAAGGCCGUAUCUACAAGGACCAACACAAUGAUUUUCCAUUAGGAUCAGGAUCAGGAUCAGGUAGCCAGGGAGGAAAGCAUGUAAUAUUCACAAUUGAGUAUAUUGAACUUGAAAAACUGGUGAAUACAGCCAGAGGUGAUGGGCUCCAUCUAGUUAGAUUAGAGGAACCAGACUAAUUCUUAUGAAUUUACAGUGGAUUACAAAUUCCACAAUUAAAUUUCUAUUUUAUGGACUUAUGAAACUUGUAUAACUGAGUUCAGUUGUUGAAGGAUCAAUUAUAUUUUGUUAUACAUAUGUAGAUAAACAUCAGGACUGCAGAGAGCCUUCACAUCUUCCGCCGCAAACUAAAGACACACCUCUUCAGACUCUACCUCGACUAAAGACUAACAAAUUGUAGCACUUAAAUUGUACUUGUAACGUCACUCAUCUAUAGCAAAUUGUAAAUUGGCUUAUUUGAGGAAAUUGCACUUUCUUGUUUCUUGUUCUCCUGAGUUUGUACCCUAUGGUUGAAUGCACUCAUUAUACGUCGCUUUGGAUAAAAGCGUCCGCUAAAUGACAUGUAAUGUAAUGUAAUGUAAUGUAGAUAUAUAUGUCAGUGUAGCAAAAUGUUUUUGAGGAAAGAUUUUUGACCUGGCUCCAAUAAAUGCAGUUUAAUUUCAUAACGUUCCAACCACGUAUGUUAACAAUUUAUCUACUUUUGUAAAUGAUUAUUUUGUUGGGUGAUCACUCCACAAUGAAUUCCCAUUGACCCCCGGAGCACUAGCCCCCCCUUGUACAGUUGUGUAUUACGUAUUUAAUUAUGUCCAUAAUCAGUCGGCUUUGGUAGAAUAAUAUGAAAAGGAGCAAUAACAGAAUGAAAUAGAUUAUGCAAACAAGGGAAGAUGUACUACAACGGAGAAGAAAGGUAGAGCAAAAAGAUAAUACGAGAGAGAUCCUCACAAUCGGAUGGACAUAGAAGACCAAGAGCGAAGAGACAAUGCCAGACAAAAAGAAUAAAAGGCGUAACAGACCCAUGAAAGGAGACCGGCAGCGAGCCAGACGAGACGGGGCGACGCGUGUGAGCAUUGGUCCCGUGGAAAUGUUGCUGUGCUGGAGGCUGAGCCCACGCGCCCAGCAGUGAUGAAUUUGUCCUGUCAGGAUAAGCCAUAUAAACAGACGUAUAGUGUAUGACAACCCUCCUCUCGGCGCUGCACUGAACAAUGACAUUACCCUACUGCUGCGUAACAAUGGCUACAGAGAUCUGGCAGGACACAUAUGAGGAAGGUACACGGCUGUUUGUCUUUUAGUGUGGAUGUUUAUUAUCUGGGCAUAUCUCAGUGAUUUAGUGGAGGAUCUGGGACGAAUGCCACAUACUUCUUUCUGAGGAAAAUAGCAAUGUUUAAUAAAGCUGCAAAUCGCUAGAGGGCAGGAAGAAGACAAUUUAAUAGAAGCAGAUCAAUGAGCAUAUACAAUCAACAUAUCAGGGUUUUACUGCAGCAAAACAGCUCUUGUGUUGCUGGAGGACAUGUCAUUAGUGAGCGGUUGGUGGUUUGAAUACAAAAAUGGCGGGAUUUCAAAGUGGAGGAUUGAUUGAUGUUGUGGUCUGAAAAUCAUCUCAGAAUUCCAAUUGGGUGUCUGGGUUUGGCUAGACGUGUGGACAAAAUAACAGACAAAACCUUUGGCUGCGAGGAUCAAAAAACCUUGACCUAUGUGGCAGAAGCUUCAAAGGCGCUGGCCACAAACCAUGAUUUGGAAAAUAAGUCUGUUCUGGACUGUUUCUGUCUCUUCUCAUAUUUUUGCUAUGUCUCUACGGUUUACUUCCUGAUAAAAGCAUAAUAUGUGGGGUUUGCUGGGAUUUAUACUAGCAAAACCAGGUAUCGGUAAGAAUUCUCAACCCAGUCUCACGGCAAAACGUGUACUAGCUACGUUGUGGACCAACGCGGUAUUGUCACGCUCAGUAUUGUAGUGGUAAAAUUAGAGGUGGGUAAACUCUAAUUUUGUGAUCAUACAGACCUCGACGCGAUGCAACGUGAUGCGAAGCAACGCAACACAAAGCGUACUACUUGUUUCUUCAUCUCCUCCCUCUAUUCCAUCUUUCUCUGUCUCCCCUUUCUCUGUUUCUUCAUUCUAUGUUGGUCUUCUUUAAUUUCCUACCCUUUCCUCUUCUCCACUCUUUGGUUCUCAACUGUCAUGAUUUCGUUCUCUCAUCAGCCCUUCUCCUCUCUCUAUUUGACCUGGUGUUUCUCCUCUCCCUGUGCUUUCUGCAUCAUUGCCUGUCCUAUCACUGCCUGAAAAAAUAUGUGGAAUUUAAGAGUUGUGGGGCUGAGAACACCAGUUAAGCAGCCUGUCAAUUACACUGACAACAUAAGUUAAAGGAAAUGUACUACCUAUCUCAUCAUAAAUAGCCUAUACAGCAUGUUUUUUUUCACAUUGAGAACUGACUUGUUUUCAAAUAAUCUAUAUUUACAGUGUAUUUCGCUUACAGGCUACUCUACACCUUUCAUGACUUCAAAUAAUUGAUUAAUUGCUCCCCGCUCACGUUUUCUAUGCGAGAGCAGGACAUGAUGACAGAGCCUCAUGAAAACAACGUUUAAAAACGUGAGUUGAUCUUCUUCAGUCUUACUUUGUACUUGAGGCCUUUGUACUUGAGGUUUAUGCGCAGAAGUAAAUAUACACUAAUAAAGAAGGACACAUACAGCGCCGAAUAAAAGAAACUCACUGGUACGUGUCGUACUUAGACAAUUAAAUGUCGAAAAAAUGAAUAUUACACAUUCCGAACAGGUAGGCAGGCAGGCUAAACCACAACGUGUAUGUGUUUACACACCUCCUGGAUCCUGAUCGGUGUCGCUGCUGCAGCCACAAGGCACUGAUUGGAUGGUCAAAGACCAUAAUACAGCGCAGAUGAAAAUGAUUCAGACUACGGCGUUUAUAUGUUCAACAAUAGGAAACGUAGUCUUAGCUGUUUUAAAAUUACACCAAGUUUAUUUCGGAUUAUUCCAACGGAAGAAUACAAGGCGCAGGGAACUUUGAGGUGCCUAAACGGCACUUAGAGGUGGGUAAACGCUAUUUAGAGGUGCGUAAACGCUAUUUCCAAAAUUCCAGAGGUGCGUGAACGGCGUUUACGUGCGUUUACCCUCCACUACAGCCCUGGUCACGCUUUCUCCCCCAAAUUGUGACAAUACUACAUUUUAUUUUGGCCUAUUUGUUUACAUUGCCUUGCAACUACGUCACUAGAAACUAAUAAACUGAAGGUUUAAUAGACCGACAGUCCGCCAUUUUCUUUUUUUUUUAGCUGAGGGAAAGUUGUCCACAACGUAGCUAGUACACGUUUUGCUGUGAGACUGGGUUGGAAUUCUCCACAUUUGUAUGGAAUAAAUAGUCAUAUUGCCUUUUCCUAUCGUACAUCUAGACAAUAGUGCUCUAUCCAGGGCCAACACAAGAUGUAGUCCAAUAUGCAUACAGCGUGUAGCAGGAGACAUACGGUUUUCCGACCAAAAUGCAAAUUUUAAAUAGUAGAAAGUCCUCAUUUCUACCGAUGCUUUUAAGUAUAUGGAAAUAGUUCCGAGCCACAUGUCCGUUCGGGCCUUGCAGUUUGUUAGUGCUUCUUUGACUAAUUUAACAGUGGACCUUCAUUACAGAACCAAAUGGGACUCGUAUAUACUGUGAGUUGUGCAGCUUGGAGUGGAUCCAUAUAUUUUACAUGGGAAAUACUUCCCAUCUUCUGCUAACAUGCAUAUAGAUGGGGUGCAUUUAAGGGAGCUAAACACACAUUUUGGCCUGAAGCUUUGCACGACAAGUCAUCGUCUUGCCCGACUCAGCAACUCUAGAGACGGCAGUCUAAAAAAUGACUAUAAAUACAAGUCAUUGGGUAAUAUUAAGCCAGUUUACACUGCUGAUAAUGUUGCUUUAACACCCUGUUGAGUUCCAAUUUUCUGAUGACGCUCCUUUUUAUUGAAUGCACCAGUAUCAUUGCUGGAGGAAACGUCAUAAUGGAAAAUGUGGUUUUGAAAAAUUAAUUGUUGCGAAAAAUAAUGUCAUGUGUUGUCUAGUCCCAUCAACAGUCUAAAACACAACAUUCAAUCUUUAAUUAUAUAAGUAAACCAAUAUCCUCUAUUUGCAAAUUGCAAAUAAGGGAAACUGUUCUUAUUGGUCAAUUGGUCAUUUUUCAAUGUAACAUUGAAGAAAAUUAUCUGUUUUAGCUGUAUCACUAUUUUGUAUAAUGGCAAAAGCUGAUCUGUAGGCCGUUGUUAAGCUUUUGAAUUUUCUGUAUUACCUUGAAAUGUUCCUCUAUGUAGAAUUGCAUGUGACAUAAAAUGUCUGACAGAUUCAUCAGUAUGAGGUUCUUGUAACAAUUUAAAUCUAAUAGAAAUGUCUGCGUCUGAAUCGGUCUUUCUUGCUUUCCUGAGGAAGGAAUCCCUGUGUUGCUUGAAUAGCUCGGAUCAAGUAAUGCAGCAGGCGGCAGCCUCUGAUUGUCACCGCACUGAUUUGUUAUUGAGUAAGGAGGCUUUUCAACACAGCUGUUUGUGGCUCUCUGAAAAUGAAGACUGCGAUAUUGUGUUCCACGGAUUGGGCUUUACUUUCACACAUCAUCCGCCAUCCUUCUUAAAGAGGCUGUCAAAUUGUCCCGGCGCCCUCUCAGUGCACAACUCUGGCGGAAGAAUUUCAAAGGGCACUUCAGCAAAAUCCGACGAUACAGGAGAAAAUGAAAACUCUGGGCUUUUUUGCCUUUAGCACAAUGCACUGAAUCGGUGUUAAAUUCCUCAGGGUUGUCCAAAGGUUUCUACAACAGCUGAACCAGCUGAAAACAUUUAUCAUGGUUGGCACCCAGCAGACCUCGAGCUGAAGCUCACCUCACGUAAAUGUCCUUGACAGUCUUGUGUCACACAAUUCAUCCGACAGCAGGGAAGGAUUACAACCGAACUAUCUCGGCAUCUGUAACAUUUCAUGCUUGUUAGACAUUAACACGAUUCAAGUAGCAUAAACAUCCAUGUGCAAGAAGAACCAACUACAUUUUUGUUUCUCUUCAUAUCAUAAUGGUGUAUCAAUCAUAGUAAUACCAUGGUCUAAAAAUAAAUAAGGACUCAAUUAAACUGUUGUAUUAUUAAGAACUUAAGAUCCUUUGCUUUGAGUAAUAUAGUACAGCAUCAUGUCUAUUUUCUUUUUAGUAAAAACAAUGUAACCUAAAUGGGGUGGAGCAACUACAUUGCAUGUCAUGACGCUUCUAUCCAAAGCGACAACAAGUGAGUCGACCCUAGUAUAAAGUAUAAAGUUACUCAACUGUUGACAUACUUGUCCUCUACUUCAUAACAUCCCUUGAUUUAAAUAUGCUAGUGUUGGCGGGCAUACGGUUUGAGGUGCUGUGGACAUCCACACAGAGGCCAGAAGGCCAGACUGACACCAGCAGAUGAAAACAAACCGUCCCCCCCCCUGUGGUGCCGGGGGGGAGCGGCAGGAAAGGCCUGGCUGGGGAUCCUGGAGAAAUGUCAAGCUAAGCAUACAUCAACGGAGGCAAGGCGGCGCUGUCAGGGAGCAUCAAUGCAACACGCUUGAUGUUUUAGUAAUGAGGACACGCUGUACACAGUGGCAAAGAUGCCGGGACGCAAACAAGUGCCAGUGCGGCAUGGCCGAUCAGCCGGAGACCCCCACUAACGCAGGGAAUUGGAAAAGGAGGCCGAGACAAACAGACGGGAUGACUGGAGGGAAGCAAACAAAACGGAAAAGUCAAACAGUAACCUAGUCAAACCGAGGAGGCCUACCAAGAGUCCCUGCUCAAGAGAAUAUGGGAGAUUCAUUAGAUGCUAAAUAUCACUUGUGUGUCAUUUGACAUUUAGCUUUUUUUCGGAUGGAAGCGUUUUGGCAGAUUCAAAGUCUUAAUUUCUGAAAUCUCCCGAGGCUUCUUUUCGGUAGAAGUCGGUUGGACAAAUUGUCCACCUCUGCAGGGGGUUUCCAAAGUACCGGUUGCUAUCUGACGGCUGCACAUAUUUAUAUUUCAUUAGUCUUGUUGCACUGAUUUCUGCAGUGGCUUUUAAAUCAAGAAUUUGGGUUGCAGGUCAUUUGCCUCAGCCAGUACAGGCUGGCUUCAGUGGGCUUCUUGGUAACACUCAUCAGCACCGUCACGGUUCUCGCGUGCCGCUACACCGUGUGUGCAUACCAACUUGAUUUAAUAGGCAUUUUAAAUUUUUUUUUAUUGUCACGCAUCAACUGGUUUAUUAAAAAAUGGCUUCAAAACAAUAUCAAUGAUUGCUUGAUGGCUACUUCCUUCAUACGACUGGCCUACUUUCUAAGUUCUCUGUGUAGCUGUAGGCCUACUCUAUUAUCGGAUUAUUCGUUGUAGCCGUUUCCUGCGAGAUAUGCAGCAGUGUUCAGUAAUAAAUCAGUAGUACGAAGCAAUGCUCUGUUCGAAGGGAACUUUUAUAGGAGGCAACAACUCGCCUCACUGCAAAUUGUAAAGCAAGAUUACCUAUGAGUCAUAAGGCCGCACACCUUUGUCUACCCAAACCAUAUUGAUGUUCCCUUACACAACAAAUGUUAAUAUUAGCUGUCCUUGCUCCGUGAGCUGCUGUACUAACUAAGGGCAAGAUGAGUCGGACGCUUAUCAAUUAUUCCAGAUUUUGGUUCCCAUCCAGGCUCUAAUGUCAGUGUUGCAAGUUCUGGAUUUUCUGUUUUAUUUCAUUUUUCUCUGCCUCUUGUGUAUCGUAACAGUUCAGUUCCUGCCGUAUUGUGUUGCGGUUUCUGCUGUGGUACUGUGCGCUCUGUAUGCCUGUUUGUGUUGUGUGAGUUUUGCUUCUUGUUGGAGAUAUUGCUGCAGUACGACUUGGAGGAUUAACUAAUUCCUCUUUCUAAACCUUAAGAAAUCCGUGACUCUUAAUGUAGUUCAUUGUAGUUCACUUACAAAAACAUAGUUACAAAUAUCCAAUUCUUCCAAAGAAGAAUCCAUGUAACUCUUUUAUAGUUUUAUAUUUCUUCGCAAUAGCAUCUUUCUUUCUGCACACCACUGCUUCUGUAGCUUUUACAUCUAUUCACUGUCUUUUCUUAAGUGAGAUUUGCUACCAAAAAUAAGAGCUUUCUGACACCUUUCUCUGCGCCGCGGCUAUAUUUAAAAAAACACAAAACAAUAGUGUUGACAAAAUGAAGUCUGGCCAAGUGAAAACUCCCUCCAUUCAUUAAAUUUGUUAACACUCCCCGUCAGCGGCAGCAGCAGCAGCCAUUGGAGUGUCGGCUCAGCCUGUUAUCUCCACAUCAAAUUUCACUUCAGCUCCACUUGACUCAUCUCAGAUUUGUUUGUCGUCCUC
ensembl:lncRNA